UUAUAUUAAUGUAGUUCUCAUUCAGACCUAACAGAAAUUGGAUGACUCUAUCAUUGUCUUGUAUUUUAGCAACCUCUGACAGCACACCACAGACACAUUUUCCACACUUACAGUAGGGUUUGGGCACACAUGAGUCAAAUCUGUCCCAAAGUGACUUAAGUUUCCCAUAGUAAACUAUUAUCGUUUUUUGUUUUUGACUGAGAAGUGUAAUGUCUGCCUUCAUCUGAAAAAGUUGAGGCGUAUUUGCUUAUUUGAAUCUCUGCUUCAAGUUCUUCUAAAUUAGUGAUGCGAUAUCACUAAACAUUAAAGUUGUAUCAAUAUCCGCAGAAACAACAUUAUAUAUCCAACUUAGGACCAGACCAUUGCUUUGUUCCCAAUUCUUGGAUUCCAAUAGUUUCCUUAAGAGGCCUGGCCAAAUCUCCAUUGACAUACCCAAGCUUUCCUCUAGCCACCAAUGCUACUCGCAUUGCCGUGUACCGUGUGUAAUAGUUUUCUUCCCCAACUAACACCUUUGAUACAAGAUGAGCACUAGGACCCUCAGUAGUAUAGGAGAUUCCAAAGGAAUUAGUGCCUUGCUGUGAGCAAUUUUCAGCACUAGUUUCUUUCUCGUCCAACUAUUUUCCCUCAGCCUCAUUUCUCUUAUCAUUGUCUACUGGUUGCUCUUGUUCAAAAGAACGCCAUUCCACAUUGUCAACUGCCAUAUCCUUGUUCUUUUCCAUUUGAUCAAUGAAGUUUUG
rnacentral:lncRNA from 1 species